rnacentral:rRNA from 1 species
UAUUGGGCGUAAGCGUGCGCAGGCGGUUUCUUAAGUCUGAUGUGAAAUCCCUGACCUCAACGAGGAGGGGCAUUGGAUACUGGAAAACUUGAGUGCGGAAGAGGAUGAGGAAUUCCAGGUGUAGCGGUGAAAUGCGUAGAGAUCUGGAGAAUACAGAUGCGAAAGCACUAUCUGGCUGUUACUGAACUGAGGCACGAAAGCGUGGGGAGCAACAGGAUUAGAUACCCUGGUAGUCCAUGCCGUAACGAUGACUGCUAACCGUUGGGGCCUUGACCCCGUGGUGCUGCAGCUACGCGAUAAGCACUCCGCCUGGGGGGGGGGGGGUCGCAAGACUGAACUCAAAUGAAUUGGGGGGGGGCCCGCACAAGCGGGUGGAGCAUGUGGUUUAAUUCGAAGCAACGCGAAGAACCUUACCUGGUCUUGACAUCCUAAGAACUUCUGUAAAAAUAUUGUUGCCCUCCGGAACUUACAUACACGUGCUGCGUGUGUGUCGCCAGCUCUCGUGUCGAGAGAUUGUGUAUAAGCCGCGCGGAGAGCGCGCCUCUUGCUCAUAUGUGCCAGCAUAUUGCUGGGCACUCUGAGGAGACUGCCAGGACGACUGGAGGAAGGUGAGAUGACGUCAAAUCAUCAUGCCCCUUAGGACCUGGGCUACACGCGUGCUACAAUGGGCGAGACAGGGGUUGGCACCUCGGGGAGGAGCU